rnacentral:rRNA from 1 species
UACGAGUGCCCCGAGCGUUAUCCGGAAUUAUUGGGCGUAAAGGGUGUGUAGGUGGCAGUAUUAGUCAACUGUUAAAACCCGGAGCUUAACUCCGGAAGUGCGGUUGAAACGGUACAGCUAGAGGAUGGCAGGGAUGUAUGGAACUCAUGGAGUAGGGGUGAAAUCCGUUGAUAUCAUGGGGAACACCAAAAGCGAAGGCAGUACAUUGGGCCACUCCUGACACUGAAACACGAAAGCGUGGGUAGCGAAUGGGAUUAGAUACCCUGAGUCC